rfam:Melampsora larici-populina 98AG31 unplaced genomic scaffold MELLAscaffold_50, whole genome shotgun sequence.
CCCUUGAUAGCUCAGUUGGAAGAGCGACAGACUGUAAUUGGACAAUCUGGAUGCUGUGCAUCUGUAGGUCACCGGUUCGAACCCGGUUCGAGGGA